rnacentral:rRNA from 1 species
CCUACGGGAGGCAGCAGUGAGGAAUAUUGGUCAAUGGACGAGAGUCUGAACCAGCCACGUAGCGUGAAGGAUGACUGCCCUAUGGGUUGUAAACUUCUUUUAUAUGGGAAUAAAAUGUUCCACGUGUGGGAUUUUGUAUGUACCAUAUGAAUAAGGCUCGGCUAACUCCGUGCCAGCAGCCGCGGUAAUACGGAGGCUCCGAGCGUUAUCCGGAUUUAUUGGGUGUAAAGGGAGCGUAGGUGGAUUGUUAAGUCAGUUGUGAAAGUUUGCGGCUAAACCGUAAAAUUGCAGUUGAAACUGGCAGUCUAGAGUACAGUAGAGGUGGGCGGAAUUCGUGGUGUAGCGGUGAAAUGCUUAGAGAUCACGAAGAACUCCGAUUGCGAAGGCAGUUCACUGGACUGCAACUGACACUGAGGCUCGAAAGUGUGGGUAUCAAACAGGAUUAGAUACCCGAGUAGUC